AUGACCUCAAAGAAGGCCUUUUCAAGCGCCAAACAGGAUUGCUUUUUUCUUUUCCUUCCUUCCUUCUUUUCCUCCUUCCUUUGUACUUUUCUUUCUCACCUUUCUUUCUCACCUUUCCUUCCUUCCAUUCUUCCUUCCUUUCUUUUUUUCUUCCUUUUUCUUUCUCACCUUUCCUUCCUUCCUUCCUUCUUCCUUUCUUUUUCCCUUUCUCUUUCUUUCUUUCUUUCUUUCUUUCUUUCUUUCUUUCUUUCUUUCUUUCUUUCUUUCUUUCUUUCUUUCUUUCUUUCUUUCUUUCUUUCUUUCUUUCUCUUUCUUCCUUCCCUCCUACCUUCCUUCCUUCCUUUGUUCCUUUCUCUGUCUCUUUCUUUCCUUCUCCAGGCCCAGUGCUCUCUCCGAUGAGCCACUUAGCUGAACUUAACAGUUGGUUAAAUUGGCAGAGUUACUGUGCACCAUAUGCAAUAUUCCUCUCUGUGUGUCUUUGCUGGCAAUACUGUCUGUCUUCACCUUUCCCUCUUGGAGCCUGCACCUCCAACAAGGCUCAUUCAUCUCAAGGGCUCUUUCCUUCAAGACACUUCUCCUGAUUUCCCUAGCUGAGAGAACGUUGCCCCAAUGACUGGGUAUGGAUUAGGUAUAUCGCUUGUCUUUGCUCAUCUACAAACACAUUACAUGCCACACUGCCUUUUCCCCAUCAUUCAAAAGAAAUAGGAGUGGGAGGGAUAAUAUAUGCAGUUUCCUCAUCUGAAAAAUGGGAAUAAUAAUGGCAUCUCCUUGGAGCUUCGUGAUCCUGAGCCAGUCAUCUAAUUUCUCCAGGCCUAAGUUCCUUCGCGUGAAAGGGGUAGCCUCGGGGGCCUCGAAGGUCCCUGCUAGCUCUAAAUUUGGCGACUCUCCAUCAGAAGCUGGGGAGGGCACGUGUGAGGCAGGGAGGCUUUCCUCCCUCUGGGGCUCUGGGCCCUCCCACCCAAAGCUCAGGUCCUCCAUCUUCAGACCUGAAGAAAAGCAGAGAUCUCUGGGUUCGGCUCUCCCCCCUCCCCGGGAGCUGGCAGAAGGUGGCAUAUGCUCUGUCCCUCAAACACAGUAACACAGCUAAUCCCUGGAUGGCUGAUGGAGGCUGCUAUCAGUGCCCAUGUCUGGGCUCCGGCUGGGGGAGGGAGAGAGCUACCCUCGUCAGCCCAAGACAAAGACCCUGCCAGGCUUGGCACGCUGAGUGUGGGGAUGCAGGGAAGCUCCUGGGGAGGGCUUGGGCCUGGAGCUGUGACCUUUAAGCAGGAGGAUGAGGCCUCCCCCUCCCUCCUUUCCUUGUCUCCCCCUCACCCUGCUCAUCUUCUCUGCCUCCCCCAAUACCUCUGACACACACGAUGUGUGGCGCCUUCUCAUUAAGGGCCGACAACACUGUAAUUAU
rnacentral:lncRNA from 1 species